rnacentral:lncRNA from 1 species
AACUUUUUUUAAGGGUAAAUGUGAGAUGUUAGUUUACAUGAAUGAACGUGACUUUUUAGAAUAAGUGCAAUCGUCUUAUUAUGUACCAUUUUCUUUAUUCAAUCAAAUUGUAUAAACAUUAUAUGAAUUUUAUUUUGCUUUCUGUAAUGAUAUAUAAAAGCAUUUAGGUUUACAUCUCAGGGAUUUAGAUUUGUUUAAAAAUUUGGUACAUCUCUGGUAGUAUCCAUCAAAAGUACUAUCAAAGCUUGGUUUGGUAAAUUCGUCUACAUGUACCCAGUAACAAUAACUUGUCAAAAUUGAAACCUUGAUUUGCUUGAAAACAAAGAAAUAUGUGAAAAAUAUAAAACAAAAUAGGUUCUGAUGAAAACAGCGGUGAGGCAGAGGACUUUAACCUUUUAUAAUUCUACAUAACCUUUACUAUUAAUCAUUGAAUCAAUCACAGUUCAUAUUGUAAGUGCAAUAUUUUCGUAAAUCAUAUUUGGAAUUGUUAUUUUAGAUACAUUUCCUACAUGGAAAUUAAGCUUGCAAAGUUUAUUCAUCCUUUAUAGUUAUAAACACUGUAAACUGCUUUUUAUCAUUUGUAUUAUAAGUUCUAUCAUACAAGGAAGAAGUACCAAAAGCACAAUACACUUUAAGGGAUAACUAAUAACUGACCUAAAACUUUUUAAAAUUGGGUCCAAUGAUAUCUUUAUGACAAAAAUAUAGUCCCCUUAUGUUAUGACUUCUAUCAAAUACAUAUCAAUUUACAUGUUCAUCUUCAUAUAUUGUAACAAAACUGUGUGAUGAAUAUAUUGUUUUUCAUUCAAAUCUCUUUUCUACUUGUUCUCAAAAUCAGAAACAUUGUUAAUUGUAUGUUUUAAGUGUUCUUUGAUUUUAUUGAGGUUUAUUUUAUUAUUUAAAACAAGUUAUAUGAUUAGGGCAAUACAUUUGAUUAUAGAAAAAGUGAUACUCAGCGUUUAAAGAUGUGAUUACCAUUUACUUAAAAUGGAAUUGUAAUUUUUGAAUAAAACAUGACUUUAUAUCAUAUUUUUUUUUCAAAUAUGGUAGAAUGAUAACUAGCUGAUAAUUAUACCCCCGCUUUGAAAAAAAGGGGGAUAUACUGUUUUACUUCUGUCUGUCCUUCCGUCAGUCCGUCAGUCCGUCAGUCCGUCCGUCCCAUGAAUAUUUUUCGUCACAUUUUUCUCAGGAACUACACUACAAGGAUUUCUGAAAUUUGGUUUCAGGCUUGAUAUACGUCAGCUAUACUGUGUGAUGCGUUUUUAGAUUCAUCACUCGCCAACUUCCUGUUUACCGAACACUAGCUUGUAUGAUUUUACACAUGAUAGCCAAGUUGAAAAUUUUCGUCACAUUUUUCCCAGGAACUACAAUACAAGGAUUUCUGAAAUUUGGUUUCAGGGUUUUUAUAAGUCAGUUAUACCGUGUGAUGCGUUUUGAGAUUCUUCACUUGACAACUUCCUGUUUACCGAACACUUGUAUGAUUUUACCCAAGAUAGCCAAGUUGAAAAUUUUCGUCACAAUUUUCUCAGGAACUACAAUACAAGGAUUUCUGAAAUUUGGUUUCAGGGUUUAUAUAAGUCAGCUAUACCGUGUGAUGCGUUUUCAGAGUCAUCACUCGAUAACUUCCUGUUUACCGAACACUUGCAUAUUUUUACACUAUUAAUAUUAUCCACUUGCGGCGGGGUAUCAUCAGUGAGCAGUAGCUCGCAGUUUCACUUGUUUUGAUUAAAUGUCAGCAGUUUAUCAAGC